AACGAACGCUGGCGGCGCGCCUAAUACAUGCAAGUCGAGCGAGAAGAUGUAGCAAUACGUUUGUAAAGCGGCGAACGGGUGAGGAAUACAUGGGUAACCUACCCUCGAGUGGGGAAGUAACUAGCCGAAAGGUUAGCUAAUACCGCGUACGCUUCUUGGACUUCGGUUCAGGGAGGAAAGCGAUACCGUGGGUAUCGCGCUCUUGGAUGGGCUCAUGUCCUAUCAGCUUGGGUGAGGUAACGGCUCACCAAGGCUUCGACGGGUAGCUGGUCUGAGAGGACGAUCAGCCACACUGGCACUGCGACACGGGCCAGACUCCUACGGGAGGCAGCAGUAAGGAAUAUUGCGCAAUGGGCGAAAGCCUGACGCAGCGACGCCGCGUGGGGGA
rnacentral:rRNA from 1 species